UACGGAGGGUGCAAGCGUUAUCCGGAUUUACUGGGUUUAAAGGGUGCGUAGGUGGAUUGGUAGGUCAGUGGUGAAAUACUUUCGCUUAACGAAGGAACUGCCAUUGAUACUAUCAAUCUUGAAUGUAGUGGAGGUAGGCGGAAUGCGUCAUGUAGCGGUGAAAUGCUUAGAUAUGACGCAGAACACCAAUUGCGAAGGCAGCUUGCUACACUACUAUUGACACUGAGGCACGAAAGCGUGGGGAUCAAACAGG
rnacentral:rRNA from 1 species